ensembl:misc_RNA Metazoa_SRP Metazoan signal recognition particle RNA
GCCAGGCACUGUGGAAGGUGCUUAUAGUCCCUGAUACUUGGGAGUCUGGGGCAGGAGGAUAGUUUGAGCCCUGGAGCUCUGGGCUGUAGUUUACUGUACUAAUUGGGUUAUCCACAGUAAGUUUGGUAUCAAUAUAGUGACCUCUUGAAGUGGGGGACCACCAGGUGGCCUAGGGGUGUGAAUUAGCCCAGGUCAGAAGUGGAGCAGGUCCAAACACCCAGGCUGAUCAGUAGUGGGAUCAAGCCUGUGAAUAGCCACUGCAUUUCAUCUGGGCAACACAGUGAGUCUGUGUCUCUU